AUAAGUAGUAGCAACGACUAGAAGACGUCGUUUACUAUGUUGUUCUGACGUUAGAUAGUGUGGAAUCGGUGGGCGAAAAGAGUGUAGAGGGCGGUUGACAGGAUGUUAUGCGACUACUGUGGGAUUAGUAGCGAUUUCGUAGUUUACUGCCGCGGGUUGUCAAUUUUUUGUAAGAUGUCCUGAAGCGAGCCCGUUGGCCGGAGAGAUAGUUGAAGUGGUUUUGUUACAAUCACGGAUACGUACAGCGUGGAUAUGACAGCCGUAGGUAACGUAGAUGGUACGUUACGUGUUGGAGGAGGAAGGGCGUCUAGAUAAAUCCGGAUGGGAAUCGUGGGUGACCGGACGGAAGUUUGCGGAAGGAUGGGUAGUAGCUUGCUACAGCUUUUAAGAAUUGUCCAACCGCCCGUUUCGAGGAGAGGUUUCCUCUGUCCGACUAUAAUGAUAGACAUCAGGAUCUAAGUUAGAACCAGAUAAAAUACAGACAGAAGGAGUAAGGGUUUUCGCAAGAAUUUUGGGAGCUAAGGUAAUCUGCACGAAAGAAGACCCGACGUCUUCUUUGAACAUGACCACGAGUUACAGAUCAACGGACCUUUUUACAGACAUUUGGUUUUUACACACCACCAGAUCCGGAUUUUUUGGACGUAUUUGUCUUGUUUACGAACGAGUACUUUAAGCGACAGUUUCGAGAAUUAGGUCUUGUUAGAGGUACCGAACUGACCUAGUGAAACGUUGUGGGUUUACGGGAGGAGUGGGGUGUUUUGGCAGUGAGUAAAUAGACGGUUUGUUAUUUGGUCGUUGAUGGUCGGGAGGUACGGUAGAGGAAACAUGAGUGUUUGAGACCGUGGUUGUGUAUAAAGACCAAUCUGUUUACCUAGGUGGUUUGUGGGGAGCGGUGAAAUAAGGGUACGGAUAUGAGAGUAUGGUGAUGUGGGGAGCGAGCACACCGAUGACAAAAAUUGAUACCAAAUCUAAGUUAGGACGCCUUGGCGGAUUGGAGAUUACGGUGACGGCUCAACACGAGACACAACAGAGAGGACGUCCUAAAGGUCGCCAGCGGACCUGGUCUGCUUGCGAUGGAGAGGCCACCGAACACGAAGAGAUGGUUCCGGCGGAUGAGUGACAGGUACCCACUGAGGUGGCUCGUACUAUACGUGAGGUAGGGGUAGGCCAGGAGUACGCAGGGUUGUUCUCACUUCUAAAAACGUACCAAUAACAAGUCCCUAGCUAAUUUGUGGUUCACGUUGGAUGAGGCGUUCGUGUACCAGAGACUACGCGAUACAGGGGCGACACCAAAACUACCACUUUUGGCUAAUGUGAACAAGAACCGGACGGGCGAGCGAGUCUCCUAGACCGUAUCCCAUCCGGAUAGUGGGAGCCGUUUGUAGUUGCUUGAGACCCUGACGGCGGAUGGAAAGGUUGACUUACGCGGCCGGACCGUGAGUUAGGAGGAGUAGUAAAAUACCUCCUAAACCCUGAGUUCUUUACGGUACUGGAAGUUCGUCGUUCUGGUAGUAUCGUAGGAGUGAGAAUCUUCUUAGUAACUACUAGAUCGCGAGACCUGAGUGUCCUACUUCUUUGGUCGCGUUUUCGUCCGGCGGAGGAAUACCGCAAGGAUGGAGAAUAGUGCUGAUGUGCACGAAUACAUUAAAGUGGAACAUUAGCCAGCUUGCUACCCAAUGUUUGAACUCUUUAUAUAAGUCCACCCCUCGAGGG
rnacentral:rRNA from 1 species